UUGUUUUAGCUUUUCCAAGAUUCCCAGUUACAAGUGUCUCACAAGUGUGCUGAGCAGGAAAAGGUUUUAGUCUCUGUCGUUCCAGGAUAAAUCAAACAGUUUCAGGAUAAUUUGUCAGCCUCCAUUUUCUCUUCAGAUAAAGAGGUUUGCCAUGCACAGCAGCGUGGAAGACGGGAUUCUUCAGAGAGAGGAGCAACAUCUUUUUGAGAUUAAUAUCCUUAAUGUUUUGGGAGCUACUGUUACCUUGGAGGAAGGCUAUCCAUAUGAACAUAAAACAUGCCCUCCCAGGAUGCAGCCAAAGACUAGAGCUUGGAUCCAACACGAAGGAUAACUGAAGUCCACUUGGGUGAAGGUCAGACAUCCAGACGGAAAUGCAAAUAAGCCAACCAAAGAUUGUGCCACUGUUAUGAAAACAUAACACUGACUACAGGAAGAGAUUUUUUUUUUAUCAGAUACUCUCUGCCCAUAUGAGCUACAUUAUCAAAUCAGAAGAUAAAAACAAGCUUCAUGAAAUAGGUGAACCACCACACAGACUCAGAGGAGAUUUUUUUUUUCUUCCCCAAGAGCGGACAUGCAAAACAGCCUUGCCAACCCAGCAGCAAUA